rnacentral:rRNA from 1 species
GGCACUACGGUGCUGAAGCAACAAAUGCCCUGCUUCCAGGAAAAGCCUCUAAGCAUCAGGUAACAUCAAAUCGUACCCCAAACCGACACAGGUGGUCAGGUAGAGAAUACCAAGGCGCUUGAGAGAACUCGGGUGAAGGAACUAGGCAAAAUGGUGCCGUAACUUCGGGAGAAGGCACGCUGAUAUGUAGGUGAAGCGACUUGCUCGUGGAGCUGAAAUCAGUCGAAGAUACCAGCUGGCUGCAACUGUUUAUUAAAAACACAGCACUGUGCAAACACGAAAGUGGACGUAUACGGUGUGACGCCUGCCCGGUGCCGGAAGGUUAAUUGAUGGGGUCAGCGCAAGCGAAGCUCUUGAUCGAAGCCCCGGUAAACGGCGGCCGUAACUAUAACGGUCCUAAGGUAGCGAAAUUCCUUGUCGGGUAAGUUCCGACCUGCACGAAUGGCGUAAUGAUGGCCAGGCUGUCUCCACCCGAGACUCAGUGAAAUUGAACUCGCUGUGAAGAUGCAGUGUACCCGCGGCAAGACGGAAAGACCCCGUGAACCUUUACUAUAGCUUGACACUGAACAUUGAGCCUUGAUGUGUAGGAUAGGUGGGAGGCUUUGAAGUGUGGACGCCAGUCUGCAUGGAGCCGACCUUGAAAUACCACCCUUUAAUGUUUGAUGUUCUAACGUGGACCCGUAAUCCGGGUUGCGGACAGUGUCUGGUGGGUAGUUUGACUGGGGCGGUCUCCUCCUAAAGAGUAACGGAGGAGCACGAAGGUUGGCUAAUCCUGGUCGGACAUCAGGAGGUUAGUGCAAUGGCAUAAGCCAGCUUGACUGCGAGCGUGACGGCGCGAGCAGGUGCGAAAGCAGGUCAUAGUGAUCCGGUGGUUCUGAAUGGAAGGGCCAUCGCUCAACGGAUAAAAGGUACUCCGGGGAUAACAGGCUGAUACCGCCCAAGAGUUCAUAUCGACGGCGGUGUUUGGCACCUCGAUGUCGGCUCAUCACAUCCUGGGGCUGAAGUAGGUCCCAAGGGUAUGGCUGUUCGCCAUUUAAAGUGGUACGCGAGCUGGGUUUAGAACGUCGUGAGACAGUUCGGUCCCUAUCUGCCGUGGGCGCUGGAGAACUGAGGGGGGCUGCUCCUAGUACGAGAGGACCGGAGUGGACGCAUCACUGGUGUUCGGGUUGUCAUGCCAAUGGCACUGCCCGGUAGCUAAAUGCGGAAGAGAUAAGUGCUGAAAGCAUCUAAGCACGAAACUUGCCCCGAGAUGAGUUCUCCCUGACUCCUUGAGAGUCCUGAAGGAACGUUGAAGACGACGACGUUGAUAGGCCGGGUGUGUAAGCGCAGCGAUGCGUUGAGCUAACCGGUACUAAUGAACCGUGAGGCUUAACCUUACAACGCCGAAG